rnacentral:rRNA from 1 species
CGGUGUUCAACUGGCGUGCCCGCGGGACGUCCUGCCGGUGAGCUCAGCCCGCGAGGGCGGCUCAACUUGAAAUCCCAUCGCGGUGCUCUUCAUUGAGUGUCGAGGUGGGCCGGCACGACUACUUUUGAACAAAUUAGAGUGCUUAAAGCAGGCUAAAAUUUUGCCUGAAUACUGUGUAUAUGGAAUAAUGGAAUAGGACCUCGGUUCUAUUUUGUUGGUUUUCGGAACCCCGAGGUAAUGAUUAAUAGGAACGGAUGGGGGCAUUCGUAUUGCGACGUUAGAGGUGAAAUUCUUGGAUCGUCGCAAGACGGACUAAAGCGAAAGCAUUUGCCAAAAACGCUUUCAUUGAUCAAGAACGAAAGUUAGAGGUUCGAAGGCGAUCAGAUACCGCCCUAGUUCUAACCAUAAACUAUGCCAGCUAGCGAUCCGCCGACGUCCCUCUGAUGACUCGGCGGGCAGCUUCCGGGAAACCAAAGCUUUUGGGUUCCGGGGGAAGUAUGGUUGCAAAGCUGAAACUUAAAGGAAUUGACGGAAGGGCACCACCAGGAGUGGAGCCUGCGGCUUAAUUUGACUCAACACGGGAAACCUCACCAGGCCCAGACACUGGAAGGAUUGACAGAUUGAGAGCUCUUUCUUGAUUCAGUGGGUGGUGGUGCAUGGGCCGUUCUUAGUCGGUGGAGCGAUUUGUCAGGUUAAUUCCGAUAACGGACGAGACUCUGACCUGAUAACUAGACGCACUUGCGGCAUCUCAAAGGUCCGCCGGCGGCUGGCUUUGCGCCCGUCGUCGCGCGCGAUUUUUACUGCCGGCGUACAAUAAAUUCUUCUUAGAGGGACAAGUGG